GCGGCGGUGGUGCAAUGGCCGACACAGCAGACUUAGGAUCUGUGGCCCUUGAUCGGGCUUGAGGGUUCGAAUCCCUUCCGCCGCACCA
rnacentral:tRNA from 2 species